rnacentral:lncRNA from 1 species
AGAUCGUGAACAUUAUCCUUUUAUAAUGGUGCUAUGCUAACCAAACCCCCUUCCUCACUUGGCUAGGUGGGCGCAGAUACUAUCAUUUCCACCUUGAUGGGAUGUCAUUGGGAUGAAUGGGUGAAGACAAUCAGAAGGUAGAGAGAAAUAGGAAUGGAGUCGGAAAAGUCUUUGGAACAUUCAGCUCUUUCUUACAAGUCCAAAACCAGACUGUGCAGGAUGGGCUGGGUGAUUUGUGAUCAGAGGAAGGUGCUGGCUCUGUCUUAUGUACCCACAUGAAGGUGUGUACAUGAGAACUGUCAUAGGAAGAUGGCCUCCAAGCUUCAGGCUGUUGACUUCACUAAGAGGUAUAGCCACAUCAAGGGUAUUGUAAAGGACAUAAUCCACAAUUCAGGCUAAGUGGCUCUUUGGCUUC